GACGAACGCUGGCGGCGUGCCUAAUACAUGCAAGUCGAGCGGACUUUCAAGAAGCUUGCUUUUUGAAAGUUAGCGGCGGACGGGUGAGUAACACGUGGGCAACCUGCCUGCAAGACGGGGAUAACUCCGGGAAACCGGGGCUAAUACCGGAUAAUAUCUUCCUUCGCAUGAAGGAAGGUUGAAAGGCGGCGCAAGCUGCCGCUUGCAGAUGGGCCCGCGGCGCAUUAGCUAGUUGGUGAGGUAACGGCUCACCAAGGCGACGAUGCGUAGCCGACCUGAGAGGGUGAUCGGCCACACUGGGACUGAGACACGGCCCAGACUCCUACGGGAGGCAGCAGUAGGGAAUCUUCCGCAAUGGACGAAAGUCUGACGGAGCAACGCCGCGUGAGCGAAGAAGGUCUUCGGAUCGUAAAGCUCUGUUGUCAGGGAAGAACAAGUACCGUUCGAACAGGGCGGUUCCUUGACGGUACCUGACCAGAAAGCCACGGCUAACUACGUG
rnacentral:rRNA from 1 species